rnacentral:rRNA from 1 species
GACGAACGCUGGCGGCGUGCCUAAUACAUGCAAGUUGAGCGCUGAAGGUUGGUACUUGUACCAACUGGAUGAGCAGCGAACGGGUGAGUAACGCGUGGGGAAUCUGCCUUUGAGCGGGGGACAACAUUUGGAAACGAAUGCUAAUACCGCAUAAAAACUUUAAACACAAGUUUUAAGUUUGAAAGAUGCAAUUGCAUCACUCAAAGAUGAUCCCGCGUUGUAUUAGCUAGUUGGUGAGGUAAAGGCUCACCAAGGCGAUGAUACAUAGCCGACCUGAGAGGGUGAUCGGCCACAUUGGGACUGAGACACGGCCCAAACUCCUACGGGAGGCCGCAGUAGGAAUCUUCGGCAAUGGACGAAAGUCUGACCGAGCAACGCCGCGUGAGUGAAGAAGGUUUUCGGAUCGUAAAACUCUGUUGGUAGAGAAGAACGUUGGUGAGAGUGGAAAGCUCAUCAAGUGACGGUAACUACCCAGAAAGGGACGGCUAACUACGUG